rnacentral:sRNA from 1 species
UCGCUGACCCUCCUGGGCCCGGGGAGGGGCCUCCUGCCCAGCACGCAGCCUUCCUGGUGCCCCUAGGCCCGGGACAGAUCUCAGCAGAAGGUACCAGGCAACUGGCAAACCCGGGAAGGUCGCCAGUGGGUGGGCACUAGGGUGGCCAGGGCAGGGCAGGUUCAGCCCUGGAGGAGCUCAGCGCGGUGACCCGCGGCGCGGUGCGGGCAGCCCUGAGGCCACUGCGCCCGCCCCCAGUGCAGGCCCCGCCCCCCGUGGUGAAUGUGCGCGUCCAUCACCCGCCCGAGGCCUCGGUCCAGGUGCACCGCAUUGAGAGCUCGAACGCCGAGGGCGCAGCCCCCUCCCAGCACCUGCUGCCGCACCCCAAGCCCUCGCACCCCCGGCCGCCCACCCAGAAGCCCCUGGGCCGCUGCUUCCAGGACACUCUGCCCAAGCAGCCCACACAGGAGUGCAGAAGCCAGGGCCUGUACGUGGGGAAGUGGGCGCUGACUGUCCCCAGGGCUACAAGAGGCUCAACAGCACCCACUGCCAGGACAUCAACGAGUGCGCAAUGCCGGGCGUGUGUCGCCAUGGUGACUGCCUCAACAACCCUGGCUCCUAUCGCUGUGUCUGCCCACCUGGCCAUAGUUUAGGCCCCUCCCGUACACAGUGCAUUGCAGACAAACCGGAGGAGAAGAGCCUGUGUUUCCGCCUGGUGAGCCCUGAGCACCAGUGCCAGCACCCACUGACCACCCGCCUGACCCGCCAGCUCUGCUGCUGCAGUGUCGGCAAGGCCUGGGGCGCGCGGUGUCAGCGCUGCCCAACAGAUGGCACCGCUGCGUUCAAGGAGAUCUGCCCAGCUGGGAAGGG